rnacentral:rRNA from 1 species
GACGGAGGAUGCAAGUGUUAUCCGGAAUCACUGGGCGUAAAGAGCUUGUAGGCGGUUUGUCGCGUCUGCUGUGAAAAUCCGGGGCUCAACCCCGGACUUGCAGUGGGUACGGGCAGACUAGAGUGUGGUAGGGGAGACUGGAAUUCCUGGUGUAGCGGUGAAAUGCGCAGAUAUCGGGAGGAACACCAGUGGCGAAGGCGACUAUCUGGGCUGCAACUGACGCUGAGGCGCGAAGGCUAGGGUAGCAAACGGG